CCUACGGGAGGCAGCAGUGAGGAAUAUUGGUCAAUGGGCGCGAGCCUGAACCAGCCAAGUCGCGUGAGGGAAGACGGCCCUACGGGUUGUAAACCUCUUUUGCCGGGGAGCAACGGGCGCCACGUGUGGCGCCACUGAGAGUACCCGGAGAAAAAGCAUCGGCUAACUCCGUGCCAGCAGCCGCGGUAAUACGGAGGAUGCGAGCGUUAUCCGGUUUUAUUGGGUUUAAAGGGUGCGUGGGCGGAGCGUUAAGUCAGUGGGAAAGUUGAGGGGCUAAACCCCUUCCCGCCAUUGAAACUGGCGCACUUGAGUGGAAGAGAGGUAUGCGGAAUGCGUGGUGUAGCGGUGAAAUGCAUAGAUAUCACGCAGAACCCCGAUUGCGAAGGCAGCAUGCCGGCUUCCUACUGACGCUGAAGCACGAAAGCGUGGGGAUCGAACAGGAUUAGAUACCCGGGUAGUC
rnacentral:rRNA from 1 species